GAAUGCUGACAUAAGUAACGAUAAAGCGGGUGAAAAGCCCGCUCGCCGGAAGACCAAGGGUUCCUGUCCAACGUUAAUCGGGGCAGGGUGAGUCGACCCCUAAGGCGAGGCCGAAAGGCGUAGUCGAUGGGAAACGGGUUAAUAUUCCCGUACUUGGUGUUACUGCGAAGGGGGGACGGAGAAGGCUAUGUUGGCCGGGCGACGGUUGUCCCGGUUUAAGCGUGUAGGUGUGUGUUCCAGGUAAAUCCGGUUCACUUUAACACUGAGGCGUGACGACGAGGCACUACGGUGCUGAAGCAACAAAUGCCCUGCUUCCAGGAAAAGCCUCUAAGCAUCAGGUAACAUCAAAUCGUACCCCAAACCGACACAGGUGGUCAGGUAGAGAAUACCAAGGCGCUUGAGAGAACUCGGGUGAAGGAACUAGGCAAAAUGGUGCCGUAACUUCGGGAGAAGGCACGCUGACACGUAGGUGAAGUGAUUUACUCAUGGAGCUGAAGUCAGUCGAAGAUACCAGCUGGCUGCAACUGUUUAUUAAAAACACAGCACUGUGCAAACACGAAAGUGGACGUAUACGGUGUGACGCCUGCCCGGUGCCGGAAGGUUAAUUGAUGGGGUCAGCGCAAGCGAAGCUCCUGAUCGAAGCCCCGGUAAACGGCGGCCGUAACUAUAACGGUCCUAAGGUAGCGAAAUUCCUUGUCGGGUAAGUUCCGACCUGCACGAAUGGCGUAAUGAUGGCCAGGCUGUCUCCACCCGAGACUCAGUGAAAUUGAACUCGCUGUGAAGAUGCAGUGUACCCGCGGCAAGACGGAAAGACCCCGUGAACCUUUACUAUAGCUUGACACUGAACAUUGAGCCUUGAUGUGUAGGAUAGGUGGGAGGCUUUGAAGUGUGGACGCCAGUCUGCAUGGAGCCGACCUUGAAAUACCACCCUUUAAUGUUUGAUGUUCUAACGUGGACCCGUUACCCGGGUUGCGGACAGUGUCUGGUGGGUAGUUUGACUGGGGCGGUCUCCUCCUAAAGAGUAACGGAGGAGCACGAAGGUUGGCU
rnacentral:rRNA from 1 species